rnacentral:ncRNA from 1 species
UUUAACGCGAUGAUGAAGAGAAGUAGUAUCAAUUCCUUUUUUAUAGAGAGCUGGUGGUUGGUGUAAACCAGUAAAAGGUUUGGUGUGAAUGGACUUCUGAGUAUCUUGCCGAACCGAAUUGGUGUAGGCAUAGACGGUUCACAACCGAUAAUAGUGUUAGGAAUACGAUUGAUUCGUUUCCUAUAAUGAGUGGGUUUAGCAAUAAGCCAACAAAGGUGGUAUCACGGGUCCUCCCGUCCUUUAC